CCGCCCGCAGUCCGCCCGCCGGCUCUUCGGGGGACGCUUUAGUACGUAACUUUCCGGGAACGAGCCGCAGCAACGGGACGUGGCGUCGGCGGGUUGAGCCGGCGCCGGCAACCGCGGACGACCACGCAAACCUGCCGGCCCGGCCCGGCCCGGCCCACUGAGCAUGCCCGGCCUGGGGGUGGGGGCUGGGGCGGCGCGAUCAACGGGGGCGGGGCCGUAGCAGGAGGGGCGGGGCCACGAGGGCGCGGGGCGAGCGGCCGGUCCGCUUCCUGUCCGGAUGCGACCCCUGUCGCGGAAGGAAAAGCCCAGUUUCCGAAGUAACUUGGGAGACGGAGUUUCCUGUUUGUUCGUUGCACGGUCCGGCGGAAAGCGCCCCGAAGGAGCGAGCCCCCGCAUACCCAGCCUUUGCGACUUGGAGAGAGACGCCCCUGGCCACGACCUCCGCUGCCCGCCUGCCUGAGCCUCGCUGGGAAGUGCUUCCAGGCUGUCGUAGUGGACGGACCGACUGCCCCGCGAACACUGGUCACGGGGUCAUGGGCACCCGAGGGCCCACCCACAUGAGGCCUUGAUAGAGAUCCAGCACCACCUUCAACAGCCCAUGUAGACAGGGAUCCCAAACGCAUAUUUUUGCCAUAAAAAAUCCUGGGAUUCUCAGUGGCAAGGGAAGGGGUCGCGCCGGGCAGAGCCGCGAGGACGUUGGGUCCACAGUCCAGGGGACCGGCCCGCAGUGCAGACGGCCUCGCUAGACACCAAGGAGUAUUUCAGAAACCUCUCCUGCCCUCGUUGUUCUGCACUCUGUAAAACUGAAGCUCUCAAAUGGUAACCUAAAGAACCUAGUACAGUCCCGCAAAAGCUCCUCUGGAUCAACUACAUGAGAAGAAAUACAAGCAAAUUUGAGAGUCUCCUUCAGAAUUACAAUAAGCUUUAACCAAGAAUCUCUUUUGACUGCACAGACUAUUUCUGGUCAUCUAAUGCAGACUGAAUAGGAAACUAAAAAACCGCAACACUUAAAAGACAACUUCCUGUGGGAUUUUUGGUGUCUGUGGCUCAGAGUGAAAAAAAAAAACUA